rnacentral:lncRNA from 1 species
AGUAUGUUACGUACGGUGCUUCGCAAGGGACGAAGGAAGCAUGAUAUAGCCGACCAGUUAUGCGGAACUGAAAGGUGGACUUGGGGAAAUGAAGUUGCAGUCUAUGGUCCUGUUUGCCCUGUGUUGUAGGACAAAAUCUGAAGAAGCUUCGUCUCUGCACAUCAACUGAAAUUAAGAAGAUGUUUGAGAACAUCAAAAAUGACAGUCAAAAUACAGCAAUGGAAAAUAAGACUGCUGGUUGUCCAAGAGUGACAUUAACCCCAUCAUAAAUUACCUUCUUGAAAAACAAAAAAAAGACAGACUGAGAGGAAGGGUUUCAAUGAUGGCACAGAAUCAAUUAUAGGU